ACCAAUGUGUUCUAGUAAUAUGAAUUUUUUGGGCUAGUAUUCCAAAAGUCGUAGGUUCGAAUCCCACCGUGGCUG